rnacentral:rRNA from 1 species
GAAGGUGUAUCUAGAAAGACAAAUUAGAGCUUGAAAAGUAAAGCAUUUCAUUUACAUUGAAAAGUAUAUUGUGUAAUUCAAUUUAAUUUGAUAAUAAAAAUUUAUUAAUUUUUUUUGUUUAAAAAUUUAUUUAAUAAAAUUAAUUUUAGAUAAAGUUUUUUUUGUAUAGUAUAUAGAUCAAAUAGUUUAUAUGAUAGUUAAUUAGUAUUGUAAAAGAAUAUUGAAAUAUGUGAAAAAGUUUUAAAUUAAAAGUAAAUUUUAUAUAUUGUACCUUGUGUAUCAGGGUUUAUUAAUUAAAAGUUAAAAAUUUAAUUUUUCUCGAAUUUAAGAGAGUUAAUUUAUUAUUUAAUUUUUUGUUUAAAAAAAAUUUAAAAUAUUAAAUUAGAAAUGAAAUGUUAUUCGUUCUUAAAUAUAUCUAGUUUUUUAAGAAAUAAAUUAAAUUUAGAUUAUUAAUAAAUAAUUAUUUAUUUAAAUAAUAAAUUAUUAUUAAUAAUUAAUAUUUUAGGGGAUAAGCUUUAAAAUAAGUUUUAUAAUAAUUUUUUAAUUUGAAAAUUAUAGGUUUAGAAAUAGUCAUUAAUUAUAAAAAUGUUAUAAUUUAUUUUAAAUUAAAAAUAAUUUUUAUUAAUUUAAGUUUUUAUUAAAAUAAUUUUUAAAAUAAAAUAAGAAUUGAAAUAAUGAUAAAAUUAGUAUAUUUAAUUGUUUAAAAUAAAUAAAUUGAAAGGUUAAAUUAAGGAACUUGGCAAAUAAAUACUCGCCUGUUUAACAAAAACAUGUCUUUUUGAAUAUAAUUUAAAGUCUAAUCUGCCCACUGAAAAAUUUUAAAGGGCCGCGGUAUU